UCUGGUGACAAUGGCAAGGAGGUCACACCUGUUCCCAUGCCGAACACAGAAGUUAAGCUCCUUAGCGCCGAUGGUAGUCGGA
rnacentral:rRNA from 1 species